AAAUUGGUUAAUCCUGCUAGUAGUCAUAUGCUUGUCUUAGAGAUUAAGCAGUAUGUGUAUAAGUACAUACCUUAAAAUGGUGAAACCGCAAGUGGCUCAUUAAAUCAGCUAUGGUUCCUUAGAUCAUGUAUACUUCAUGGAUAACUGUAGUAAUUCUAGAGAUUAAACAUGCAAU
rnacentral:ncRNA from 1 species